rnacentral:rRNA from 1 species
AGUGAACGCUGGCGGUAGGCCUAACACAUGCAAGUCGAACGGCAGCACAGUAAGAGCUUGCUCUUACGGGUGGCGAGUGGCGGAUGGGUGAGGAAUACCUCGGAAUCUACUUUUUCGUGGGGGAUAACGUAGGGAAACUUACGCCAAUACCGCAUACGACCUACGGGUGAAAGCAGGGGAUCUUCGGACCUUGCGCGAUUGAAUGAGCCGAUGUCGGAUUUGCUAGUUGGCGGGGUAACGGCGCACCAAGGCGACGGUCCGUAGCUGGUCUGAGAGGAUGAGCAGCCACACUGGAACUGAGACACGGUCCAUACUCCUACGAGAUGCAGCAGUGGGGAAUAUUGGACAAUGGGCGCAAGCCUGAUCCAGCCAUACCGCGUGGGUGAAGAAGGCCUUCGGGUUGUAAAGCCCUUUUGUUGGGAAAGAAAAGCAGCAGGAUAAUACCCCGCUGUUCUGACGGUACCCAAAGAAUAAGCACCGGCUAACUUCGUG